GCUUACGACCACACCGGCCUGAGUACGCCUGAUCUCGUCUGAUCUCGGAAGCUAAGCAGGGUCAGGCCUGGUUAGUACUUGGAUGGGAGACCACCUGGGAGUACCAGGUGCUGUAAGAU
rnacentral:rRNA from 1 species